GAUGAAGAACGCAGCGAAAUGCGAUAAGUAAUGCGAAUUGCAGAAUUCCGUGAGUCAUCGAAUCUUUGAACGCACAUUGCGCCCGUCAGUAUUCUGACGGGCAUGCCUGUCCGAGCGUCAUUUCAACCCUCAAGCACUGCUUGGCGUUGGCGGAUUGCGUGCCCUCGCGGCGCUGCAACCGCCCAAAUACAGUGGCGGUCCCGCUGCGGCUCCCUUUGCGUAGUAACUCACCUCGCACUGGACCGGGCGGCGGCCUGCCGUAAAACCCCAACUCACGAAAUGUUGACCUCGGAUCAGGUAGGAAUACCCGCUGAACUUAAGCAUAUCAAUAAGCGGAGGA
rnacentral:misc_RNA from 1 species